AUUAAUAAUUCAUAUAUUUAAUAAAAAUAAUUUUAAUUUAAUAAAUAUUUUAACGGGGGUUAAAGUAUUUUUUAAAGAAAAAAUUUUUAAAUUUAUAGUUAAUUAGUAUUGUGAAAGAAUUUUGAAAUAUUAUGAAAAAUAAAAUUUUUAGAAAGUAAUUUUUAUUUAUUGUAUCUUGUGUAUCAGAGUUUAUUAAAAAUUUUUAAUUUAUAAAUUAAUUUCUCGAAUUUAAAAGAGUUAAAUAAUUAUUAAAGUUAUUGUAGCAAAAUUAUUUUAAAUAAUUAUUUAGAAAUGAAAUGUUAAUCGUUUUUAAAUAUAUCUAGUUUUUAUAGAAAAAAAUUUAAUUUUAAAUUUAAAAAUUAUUUAAUUAAUUUAUUAAUUAAAUAAUUAUUUAAAUUUUAUAAUUUAAGGGAUAAGCUUUAAAUUAAAUUUUUAUAAUAUUAAAUUUUUAUUUUGAAAAUUUUAUAAUUUAUAUUGUUAAUAAAUUUUAUUUUGUUAUAAAUAAUUUCAUUUUUUUUAAAAUUUAAAUUUUAUUUAAUUUUUUAUAUAAAAUUUAUUUAUAAUUAUAUAAAGUUAAUUAUAAUGAUAAAAUUAGUAUAUUAUUUAAUAUUAAAUUAAAAUUAAUUUUUGAUUAAUAAUUAAAUUAAUUAAAAGGAAUUCGGCAAAUAUUUAUUUUCACUUGUUUAUCAAAAACAUGUCUUUUUGUUAUUUAAUUUAAAGUCUAAUCUGCCCACUGAUUUAUAAAAAUUGAAGGGCUGCAGUAUAUUGACUGUACAAAGGUAGCAUAAUCAUUAGUCUCUUAAUUGGUGACUUGUAUGAAAGAUUGGAUGAAAAAUAUACUGUCUCUUAAUUAAUAUAUAGAAUUUAAUUUUUUAUUUAAAAAGUUAAAAUAAUUUAAAAAGACGAGAAGACCCUAUAGAGUUUAAUAAAUUAUUUUAUGAAAGUUUUAUUUAUAUUUACUAAUAAUUUUAUAAAUUUAUUUAUUUUGUUGGGGUGAUAAAAAAAUAAAUUUAACUUUUUUUAAGUAAUUUACAUGAAUAAGUGAUUAAU
rnacentral:rRNA from 1 species